CGGGCGGCCCCACCUAGAUUCCGCGCCAGCCUAAUAUCUGACCCCUGAUGUCGCAUCGUGGGGCGGUGGUCAGCAGUGCCAUAUCUGAGUUUUCAGCAGUGUGAGAUGGGUGUUCUAAUUGCACCUGUGGAUAAAGGCUGCACUCCUUUGGACGCGUGCACCCAAACCCAGAAGCCCGUCCCUGACCCCUGCUGACACAGGUGAUCCCUUCCUCCUAGGCUCCGCCUUUGCACCUUGGACCGUGGCUCCCCGGGUACUCUUAUCUCUUUGCAUGCUGUUCUUUCCUGCUGGGUUGCCAGAUUUUGGAAAGCGGAGGCGAUGCUGAAUUUAUCUGUGUAUCCUUAGUGUCCGGCACCGUGUUUGGAUCUCAAGGGGAGCUCAGUGAAUUUGAUGAAUGAACAUGUAAUUUAACAAAUGCUCGCUUCCUUUCGGAAAGGCUUCAUCUGGCUUCCCCAGAUAAUUUCAUGUCGCCUCUGCUGCAGUCCACUUCCUAUCACGAAUCUCUACCUAUUUAAACUGCACUCUCUCUACUCUUCAUUUACUAUUUUGAGGUUUUUCCAAAUAAAAAUCAUACGUCAGCAUGCAACCUGCAUUUAGGAUCCCCCCUUCGGUGUCCUGGGCUAGCUCCCGUCGCAGUUCUGACUCCUAAGAUGUGACAGGAAGGGUGGGGUGGCAGCCAGGUGUGCCGCUGAGGACAAAGGAGUUCUCAGUGUCAGGCACCUCGGUGGCCUUGGGAAAAUCACUGAAACAUCGUAUGGGGGUCAUGUCUUAACCCUGUACCUCCAAAGAUUUCUUCUGAA
rnacentral:lncRNA from 10 species